UACGUAGGGGGCAAGCGUUGUCCGGAAUCAUUGGGCGUAAAGCGCGCGUAGGCGGCCCGAUAAGUCCGCUGUGAAAGUCAAAGGCUCAACCUUUGAAUGCCGGUGGAUACUGUCGGGCUAGAGUCCGGAAGAGGCGAGUGGAACUCCUGGUGUAGCGGUGAAAUGCGCAGAUAUCAGGAGGAACACCAAUGGCGAAGGCAGCUCGCUGGGACGUGACUGACGCUGAGACGCGAAAGCGUGGGGAGCAAACAGGAUUAG
rnacentral:rRNA from 1 species